UUGAUAUAGAUGAGGAGACACCAGUUUGUGGUUAUUUUGCGUCUGAGUCAUUUCCAUGAUGUUACACUCUUUUCACCUUGAAGAACUGAUUAUUCCC